UACGAGGGGGGCGAGCGUUGUUCGGAAUUAUUGGGCGUAAAGGGUGCGUAGGCGGUUUGGUAAGUCUCUUGUGAAAUCUAUGGGCUCAACUCAUAGUCUGCAAGGGAAACUGCCAGGCUUGAGUGUGGGAGAGGUGAGUGGAAUUUCCGGUGUAGCGGUGAAAUGCGUAGAUAUCGGAAGGAACACCUGUGGCGAAAGCGGCUCACUGGACCACAACUGACGCUGAUGCACGAAAGCUAGGGGAGCAAACAGG
rnacentral:rRNA from 1 species